UAUAUAAAGCAAAUUUUUCCGUUAAGUUAUUUAUUUAUUCCACAUAAAUAAGUAAUCUGAUCGAAUGACAUGUUUUGAUAAUUAUCCUCUACGCGCUUUUAUCAAAGUGUUAUUUAAGUACGAAAAAAACAAAUAUCCUGUUAUUAAGAUUGUUAAAUAUCACAUAUUUUAUGUAUAAAAACUAUUUGACAACAUUUUAAAAGAAGGAACAUGAAAUGGCAGAAACUAGACACCAUAGGUUUCAGAGUAACUCUACGAUGUCUGAAAAGUAUUUGUAGCGUUUUUCGUGUUGUCAUGUCGGCGGGGCGAAAACACGUAAACUCAAAAGUAAUGUAUUUUGUCGUGUUUUCGUGUAGGCGGGGAGAAAACACAAACACUCGACAGAUAAGGUAUUUGUCAUGUUUUCGUAUUGGCGGUGCAAAAACACGAAAACACGACAAAUAAAGGGCGCCAACACGACUUAUUUAUACCCGCCAACACGAAAACUCGACAGAUAAAUUUGUCGUGUCGGCGCCCUUCUAAACGUCGAGUUUUCGCGUAAAAUGUGUUGGUUUUUUUUUUGCGUUUUCGCCCCGCCGACACGACAACACGAAAACACGACAAAUUAGGUUUUUGUCGAGUUUUCGUGUUUUCGCCCCGCCAACACGAAAUGGCAGAAAUCAUCCACGAUAGAAACCAAUGGCAAAGGGUUUUAGAAGCAUUUUCUUUCUUUUCGAACGAAGAAUUCAGAAUUUAUUUAUAUUCACUAAAGCUGCAGUAGGAGAUCUGAGAUUUAAAAAAAAAUACAAUAGUAUGUCUGAUGUCAGCUAUCGUUUUAAGAAUACAAAGUGUAUGUAUAACAGACCCGGUUCAAGAAAUAUUUCAUUGGGGUGCGGUGGGCCAUCUUCCCUCUUGAGUGCUGGAAAAUGCGCGCGCUGAUGACGUAAUUUUGUAAUUAUAAACGAAUACUUAACAGAUGUUUAUUUACAGAGAUAAAAAUCAUCUUUAAAGAAGGGGUUAUUUGUCUUCAUAAAACAUAACUUCUUUCAUUUGAGAUUACAAACAUACGUCAAUAUAUACAUCUACUACAUACAUACUUCUGUUUAUAAACAUAAACAUGUUCGAUCAAAACAUUUUAUAUGAUUUUACAAGAAUAAUUUGUGGUAAAAGUUAUAGCAUAUAUUUAGUUUCAUAUCUUAGAAAUUAGAUAUUUCAUUAAUAUUCAAGUUAUAUGAUGCGUAUAUAAGGGGGGUCAAUAUACGUUUCCGUAAUCGAAGGUCAAACCAUAUAAAUGGGUUUAAAUCUGUGGUGUCUGAUGCACAAAUAUGGAUUUAACCACUUAUAUAAUUGGCAGUAAGUAAGACCUUAAUACACAGCCAAUACUCUCCUAACUUGUUCUUAAAUGUUAAAGAUAUGUAACACGUUAUUUAGUUUUCAUUUCGACUGUUGUAUUUAGGAAUAAUACAUUAAAGCAAUAAAUGUGAUAUAUGUAACCAAUACCUCGUAGGAAAAUUGUUGUGAUUGAUUUAUUUGUCAACUGCAUGCCUAUUUUGUAUUCCAAUAGUUUUUAUGUCUCCUAAAAGUCUUUCGUUAGCUUUUUAUUUGUUUAUUAUUUGAUGUUUCAUUUCAUGUCGAUUGUUAAAUUUGUAAAUUAUGUGUUAUAGAAAAUAUUGUUUGAAGUCAGUACGACGUUCCCACAGUCCUGUAGGAAAAUUGUUGAAAAAUUGUUAUUGCGGUUCACAAAGGAACUCUCCAGUAGACGUGCAAUAUGGCAGACGAAGCUUGCGAAGUGGAGACAUUGCAGGUGUCAACGAGACCGGACAAUGCAUGAUCUGCUAUGACAGGGAACCUUCAAUGUUUCAUGUGGGCAUACAAGUUGCCUUGCAUGUGCACUGCAUCUAAAGUGUAAUGGAAGCAAAUACCCUCAAUACAUAGAAAAUAUCGAUAAAGUGCGCUCAGUUGUCAAAGACUUUAAUAAUGUUUAAACAACUAUUGACUCUUGGGGGCAAUUGAUGUUCUACAUAAUGUGCUGUUUAUGUUCUACAAAUGUGCUAUUGAUGUUCCUUAGAAAUGUGCAGUUUAUGUUCCACAGAAUUAUUUAAAACUCCUUUGACAUUUAAAGUUUGUACAGUUUUACUUAAUAGCCCGAAAGUAGUUUAAGUUGCCAAAUGAAUAACAUAUGAAUAUGCAUAUGUUACUGUUAAAGUUCAACGUCAUUUCAGUGUAUCGAAUGGCAAAAUAGGCUCAUCUAUUAUUUGGUGGACUAAAAUUUUGACAAAGCAGUAUGUUAAUACAAAAAGGUUGUCUCCGAAAUUUAGGGGCAUUCUUACCUAUUUCAGUAUAAAUCAACACAGAGAAUUAAUUUCCAAUUUCAAAUAUCAUUAAUAUUUAGUGAAUAUUGCUAAAAUAUAGCACAGAAUUUGUUGUCUAUGAGCUUCUGAAAAAAUAAGACUUUCCCUUUUUAAACACAAAUGAUUAAGUAUUAUUGGAUUGUAAAUCUUCUUAUGUUUUAUGAAAUGGCAUAUGUGAAUGUGAUUAUGAGUUUCGUUUACUUAUUUGGUAACUGAAAACAUUGAUAAAUUUAGUGAAAAUAAAUUUGUUUCAUUUUUUU